rnacentral:rRNA from 1 species
GGGCCCGCACAAGCGGUGGAGUAUGUGGUUUAAUUCGAUGCAACGCGAAGAACCUUACCAGGGUUUGACAUCCUGCGAAUCUCUUGGAAACAGGAGAGUGCCUUCGGGAACGCAGUGACAGGUGGUGCAUGGCUGUCGUCAGCUCGUGUCGUGAGAUGUUGGGUUAAGUCCCGCAACGAGCGCAACCCACGUCGUUAGUUGCCAGCAUUUUAGUUGGGCACUCUAGCGAGACCGCCGGUGAUAAACCGGAGAAGGUGUGGAUGACGUCAAGUCAUCAUGCCCCUUACAUCUGGGCUACACACGUACUACAAUGCUACGGACAAAGAGCAGCUAACUCGCGAGAGUACGCAAAUCUCAUAAACCGUGGCUCAG